rnacentral:rRNA from 1 species
UCCCCGUUUAACCUCACCAUUUUUAGCCAUAUCAGUCUGUAUACCUCCGUCGCCAAUUUACCACGUGAGCGUUUAAUAGUAAGUGGAAUGUCUUAUUACUCGAUCAUAGGUCAGGUCAAGGUGCAGCAAAUAAAAUGGGAAGAGAUGGGCUACACUCUCUAAUUUAGAACACACGGAAAACUCGCUAUGAAAAGAGUUUGAAGGCGGAUUUAGAAGUAAGAGGAGCUCAGAGAACCCCUCUUAAACCGGCACUGGGGUGUGUACACACCGCCCGUCACCCUCUUCGCAGCCCUUAAAUAGUGUUUUACAACCCAAUGCACAGUAGAAGAGGCAAGUCGUAACAUGGUAAGUAUACCGGAAGGUGUGCUUGGAAA